rnacentral:ncRNA from 1 species
UAUUCUCAUGUGGAAGCGGUUUUGAGUACGGACCCAGUACCAACCCACCCUCCCCCAACUCUAUGUACUUCGUACAUUACUGCCAGCCCCCAUGAAUAUUGUACA